rnacentral:rRNA from 1 species
CCAGACUCCUACGGGAGGCAGCAGUGGGGAAUAUUGGGCAAUGGGCGCAAGCCUGACCCAGCAACGCCGCGUGAAGGAAGAAGGCUUUCGGGUUGUAAACUUCUUUUAAGAGGGAAGAGUAGAAGACGGUACCUCUUGAAUAAGCCACGGCUAACUACGUGCCAGCAGCCGCGGUAAUACGUAGGUGGCAAGCGUUAUCCGGAUUUAUUGGGUGUAAAGGGCGUGUAGGCGGGAGCGCAAGUCAGAUGUGAAAACUCAGGGCUCAACCCUGAGCCUGCAUUUGAAACUGUGUUUCUUGAGUGCUGGAGAGGCAAUCGGAAUUCCGUGGGUAGCGGUGAAAUGCGUAGAUAUACGGAGGAACACCAGUGGCGAAGGCGGCCUGCUGGACGAUGACUGACGUUGAGGCUCGAAAGCGUGGGGAGCAAACAGGAUUAGAUACCCCAGUA